rnacentral:misc_RNA from 1 species
UGCCUGUAGUUGGCGCUCGAACUUGCUCAUGGCAUCAUUUAUGCAACGAAUUACGAACUGCGCUUGGAAUUCUAGGUUUAGUUUCAGCCCCUUUGCUCCGUUGUUUUUUGUCACACUUCUUCGGGUGCUUUUCUUGAAUUGUAUCCCCCCCCCAAAAAAUAUAUAUUCCUUGGUCCUCAGUGGCUACGGUCGGAAAUGCACUUAACAUGUGUGUCUACGUCUCCGAGGAAUUCGUAGCCAAGUAACUAGAUCGAUCCACUUCACGUACGUACCUCCGGGCCGUGCGCAUCGACGUAUAGUGCGUAUGAUAUGUACGAACGAAAAUAACACGUUUUUAUGAUCUUGUCCCCGCCGCGCCGCCUCGCUACUUCGUUCAUCAUCGUUGUUAAAUGCAAGCUACUUAAAACUUAAACCAGCCACAGGGCGCCAGCCUAGGCUUAGGUCUAGCUGCGGCUAGGUCUAUUAUUCGUGCGUCUCCACGUAUUUCCAAUGGGAUGAAGACCUAGCCCGAGCUAGCUCUAGACAACACAGCUUUGGAUGCAGUGAAAAUGGAGAAGGGGAUGAUUCUGGAAGAACAGUUCCUUGUGGAUAAUGAUGAAAAUGCUUCAAGCAGCUCUGUUAGUGAGUCAGAAUCAGAUGGUGAAGAAAAGUCGAAGGGAAAGGAGAGCAUUGAGCCAAGUGCUGAUGAGCUAAAUGCCAGAGAGCAUCGCCAUCGCAGUAAAAAACGCCACAAACACCAUCGCCACCAUCACCGGAAGAAGCACCGGAAACACUCCAGCGAGCGAGAUGACCACCGACAUUCACGCCGCCACAAGCACAAACAUAAGAAGUCGUCACGCAGCAGCAGCAAGUCCAGCAGCCGUCCUGAUGGGAGGCGGAGAGCGCACAAGCGGGAGGGCGUGGUCCCGUACACAGCAGAGGAGGAAGGGGAGGAAGAGGAGGACGGAGAGGACACUGCCGCCCUGGCCGACCUGGAGAAGCAGAAGGAGCUCUUACAGGCUGAGCUCUUGAACGACCUCGGCCUGAACAAUGAGGAGGAACUCAAGCAAGCCUCUGGCAUGGCCAUCAUUGCCAAAGGCUACGUGUCGUCAGACGAGGAAGGUCAGGUAUCAGAGGGGGACACCCGAGCUACGGAAAACUCCAAACAGCAAGAGGACUCGGAUGAUGAUGUGGUCAUCGUCCAAGAAAUACGGGGGAGCACAAGGAGACAUUCUAAACGAGGCGCACGGUCAAAGUCGCCAGAAGUUGACCGAAAGAGAAACAGCACUGAUAGGUCAAAAGACUCAAGGAGGAGGAGGAGCAUCAGCCGUGAUCGCUCUCUGAAAAAGAGCCACUCUCGCUCGUCCCCGAGCACUUCGCCAAGGAGACAGAGGGACAAAACUGACACGUCCUCAGAUCGGGUGAAGAGAAGCGAGCAGUCCUCUAGCAGGCGGAUCUCAAAGAGAUCCCGAAGUAGAUCCCGGGACAGAAAGCAGUUGGCCUCUCCCAUAGAGGUGGAUAAGCCAAGCUCCAAGAGGAGUCAGUCUCCGAGGAGAAGCAAAUCACCAAAAAGGCGCAGGAGCAGGUCACCAAGAACAUCCCCAAGGCAGAAGAGUCGAAGUCGGUCGCCUCGAAGGAAACCAAAACUUGUAAUAUCUCUGGAAAGUCUACGCCAGCAAAGCCCCCGCAGGUCCCCUUCCCCGCGACGCAGCAGCAGGGGCCGCAGCAAGUCCCCCAGCCGUGUCAGGCCAUUCGGCCGUUCCUCAACAGACCGCAACCACUCCCCACCGGCCCGCCGGCGCAGCCGAACGCCCCAGCGGCUACGGUCGCCCAUUCGCAUUCGCUCACCGACGAGAGAAGAACUUGCAGAGAGGAGGCGGAGGAGGUCACGCUCCCCAGAUCUGAGACGACGAGACAGAGACAGGGACAGGGAGAGCAGGCGAGACCGAGAUAGGGGGAGAGAUCGAGACAGGGACCGAGACCGGCGUCGCGACCGGAGACGUGGCCGUGGAAAUCGAACACCGGAUGACAAAUUUAAGGGAAGUCUUUCUGAGGGACUAACAAUGAAGGACGACUCUUCUGAUGAAGAGUUGCAGGAUGUUGAUCUCCAAGAUGAAGAAGAUGAAGAGACCAUCAUCGAGAGAAGACGCAAACAGCGCCAGGAACUUCUGAAGAAACUGAGAGCCCCAGUAGCCCCAACCGCCACUGAGCUCGGUGUACCAACUCCAGAUGAGUCCAUCACCAGCUCGGGCAUGAACACCCCAAGUAGUCAGAAAGAGACUGAGGAGUCUUCAUCGUCAUCGUCAUCAUCGUCUGACAAUGACAGCAGUGACGAUGAUGACAGUGACAGCGAGGAGGAAGAGGACCAGGAAGCGGCAGACCAGGGAGGGGCAGAAGGGAAGAUUAUUGAUGGGAUGCAAACACUUCCUGAUCCAGAGGGGGUGUUAAGAGACAUUCCAGUUCCAGUUGGAGGCGCUGAAAGGGUUAGCGAGAGCAAAUUAUCAGAGACAGUCCAGAGGCAAGACAAAGCGUCCGUUGUCAAGGUGAACAUGGAGGAAAAGGAGCAUUCGUCAGCCACCAAAACAGAAACAAAAGCUCAAGCCAAGAACGGGAUGGACAUGUUUAGUGAAAAGGACAUGUUUGGAGAUAAUUAUGACAGUCCCACUGUUGAGAAGCUUGGGCACACUGGCCAUGAGAAUCCAAGCUUGACAGACAACUGGGAUGAUGCCGAAGGCUAUUAUCGUGUUCGCAUCGGUGAGCAGUUGGACAAGCGCUACAAUGUAUAUGGCUAUACUGGCCAAGGCGUGUUCAGCAACGUGAUUAGGGCGCGAGAUUCAGCACGGACGCAGCAAGAUGUGGCCAUCAAAAUCAUCAGGAACAACGAACUCAUGCACAAGACGGGUCUGAAAGAGUUGGAGUACUUGAAGAGACUCAACGAUACAGACAGGGAAGACAAGUUCCACUGUGUUCGUCUCUUCAGACAUUUCUUCCAUCGCAACCAUCUCUGUCUCGUCUUUGAGCCCCUCAGUAUGAACCUACGUGAAGUGUUGAGACGUUAUGGUAAAGACCAUGGCCUCAACAUCAAAGCUGUGCAUUCCUAUACCUGUCAGCUCUUUAUGGCCCUGAAACUCUUGAAGCGGUGCAGCAUACUCCACGCCGACAUCAAACCAGACAACAUCUUGGUGAAUGAAUCCAAGGCCAUUCUCAAGCUGUGCGAUUUUGGCUCGGCAUGCCACGUAGGUGAGGCGGACAUCACUCCGUACUUGGUCAGCCGCUUCUACCGGGCGCCAGAAAUAAUCAUCGGUAUGACCUACGACUACGCCAUUGAUCUCUGGAGCACGGCCUGUACCAUCUUCGAGCUGUACACGGACAAGAUCCUGUUCCCCGGCAAGUCCAACAACCAGAUGCUGAAGCUGAUGAUGGACCUGAAGGGCAGGAUGCCCAACAAGAUGAUCAAGAAGGGGAUGCUGAAGGACGGCCACUUUGACGGCAGCUUCAACUUCAAGUACAUUGAGGUGGACAAAGUCACCGAGAGGGAGAAGGUGACCACCUACAGCGCGAUCAACCCAGGCCGGGACCUGAUGGGGGACCUGGUGGGGGUGGGCCGGCCCGACCGCAAGCUGACCCAGCUCAAGGACCUGCUGGAGAAGUGUCUGACGCUGGACCCCAGCAAGCGCAUCCAGAUCAAGGAGGCCCUGCACCACCCCUUCAUCCAGGAAAAGAUAUGAUGGGGGCCCGGAAAAGAGCAGGCAUACGAGUGCCGGAACAGUAACCAAGACAGGUCCAAAGUCUCUCUGCAGCAAGGUGUGGGGAUGAUUUGUUGAAGACGCAGCAUCAGAAGUUUUUUCCUCCUCAGCUGGGCUCAGGAUUAUUGUCCAAGGUUGUCUGGCUGUCUGUCAAGGAUUAAAAAGGGG